rnacentral:rRNA from 1 species
CCUACGGGUGGCAGCAGUGGGGAAUAUUGGGCAAUGGACGCAAGUCUGACCCAGCAACGCCGCGUGAAGGAAGAAGGCUUUCGGGUUGUAAACUUCCUUUAAGGGGGAAGAGCAGAAGACGGUACCUCUUGAUUAAGCCACGGCUAACUACGUGCCAGCAGCUGCGGUAAUACGAAGGUGGCAAGCGUUGUCCGGAUUUACUGGGUUUAACGGGCGUGCAGCCGGAGAGUCAAGUCAGAUGUGAAAGCAACGGGCUCAACCCGUGAACUGCAUUUGACACUGUUAGCCUUGAGUGUCGGAGAGGUAAGCGGAAUUCCUUGUGUAGCGGUGAAAUGCGUAGAUAUAUGGAAGAACACCAGUGGCGAAGGCGGCGAUCUAACCUGCAACUGACGCUCAGUCCCGAAAGCGUGGGGAGCAAAUAGGAUUAGAUACCCGAGUAGUC